rnacentral:rRNA from 1 species
CCUACGGGGGGCAGCAGUGGGGAAUAUUGGACAAUGGGCGAAAGCCUGAUCCAGCCAUGCCGCGUGUGUGAAGAAGGCCUUCGGGUUGUAAAGCACUUUCAGUGGGGAAGAAAGCCUUGGGGCUAAUACCCUCGAGGAAGGACAUCACCCACAGAAGAAGCACCGGCUAACUCCGUGCCAGCAGCCGCGGUAAUACGGAGGGUGCGAGCGUUAAUCGGAAUUACUGGGCGGAAAGCGCGCGUAGGCGGUCUGAUAAGCCGGUUGUGAAAGCCCCGGGCUCAACCUGGGAACGGCAUCCGGAACUGUCAGGCUAGAGUGCAGGAGAGGAAGGUAGAAUUCCCGGUGUAGCGGUGAAAUGCGUAGAGAUCGGGAGGAAUACCAGUGGCGAAGGCGGCCUUCUGGACUGACACUGACGCUGAGGUGCGAAAGCGUGGGUAGCAAACAGGAUUAGAUACCCUAGUAGUC